GACGAACGCUGGCGGCGUGCUUAACACAUGCAAGUCGAACGGAAAGUCCCGGCUUUUGUGGGGUGCUCGAGUGGCGAACGGGUGAGUAACACGUGGGUAACCUGCCCUUGACUUUGUGAUAACUUCAGGAAGCUGAGGCUAAUACCGGAUAGGUGCUCCUGCUGCAUGGUGGGGGUUGGAAAGGUUCGGCGGUUGGGGAUGGACUCGCGGCUUAUCAGCUUGUUGGUGGGGUAGUGGCUUACCCAGGCUUUGACGGGUAGCCGGCCUGAGAGGGUGACCGGCCACAUUGGGACUGAGAUACGGCACAGACUCCUACGGGAGGCAGCAGUGGGGAAUAUUGCACAAUGGGCGGAAGCAUGAUGCAGCAACGCCGCGUGCGGGAUGACGGCCUUCGGGUUGUAAACCGCUUUCGCCUGUGACGAAGCGUGAGUGACGGUAAUGGGUAAAGAAGCACCGGCUAACUACGUG
rnacentral:rRNA from 1 species